CUGGAGCAUGGUCAUGAUUCGCAAUGUUCGCUUCCUCGGUCUACUACUACUAAACGCAUCCCAUGUGCGCGGUAGACCGGUGGACGACGCUCAGCGUUAAUCAUCCUCCAGUUAACACUAAGAACCCGCGCCUUGGCGCGGGUUUUUUU
rfam:Kluyvera intermedia strain CAV1151, complete genome.